CAUUAGGUCAUACUGAACAGAUCGAUGUUUGAUUAUAAUUAUCUAAAAUGAUAUUGGGAGUGGGGUAGGGGUAGAAGCGGUUAGUUUUUUUUAUCAUGAUGUGAACUAUACACAAAAUAUGUGUGCGAUGCAUGCACAAGUGCUGGUUGUUGAUAUUUGUUUAAUCUUAUAUUUAAGUUAUAACAUAAAGUUUUGACAUUCCUUUAUCAAUUAAUUUGUUACCCCCCCCCCCCUACUUUUUAUAUUUUUAAUCGAAUUUGGAUCUGAUCAUAUGUAAGGGGCUUGAUAAACUAUUUUGUUUCUUUUUAAAAAACGAAUGUUAGCCAAUGCUAUAUAGUUGGCCUUAUAACUGAAAUGUGGAACAUUGUCCCCAGAUAGCAUGACUACGUUGGCCCAACGUUGGCUAAUGGUUGGACCGUUGGCCGAUGGUUGGCGUUGGCUAAACAACGUUGGCCCAACAUCGGACCAAUGUCAACAUAUCACGUUCAUACUCUGAUGCCGGGGUUAGUCGGGAAUACAACAUUGGCCCAACGUUGUAAUAUUGUGACUAAUUAAUUGCCGGAGUAUGUUGUCAACACAAUGCUGGCCCAACAUUGGGCCGAUGUCAACUUAUCACUUUCAUACUGGUACCGAGGUUAGUUGGGAAUACAACAUUGGCCCAACAUUGUAAGAUUGUGAUGAAAUUCGACUAAAAAAUAGAUUUUGAUAUCUAUAUUUAUGACACACGCACACACAAAUGCGCAUGACUCGCAUGUUUUGAAGAAGAGGAUGAUGAGUUAAUUAAAAUAAGCUACGUAUAUAUAGAAUGUAUAAUUGAUUUGAAAUAUUUAUAAUUUUUGUAAAAUAUAUGCAUACAUAAUUGAUUUCUUUUUUAGAAAACAUAUUAAAAAAUUAACAUACAUUCAAUUAUCAUUUGUGCAGGGAUGAAAAUUAACCUUGCAUAUCAAAAGAAUGAACUCAAAAGAGAAAGGUUUAACACAUGCAAAGAUUACAUAAAUGCUCUAAAGUGUUGGAUUUAGGAAGCAGAUUCUAAGAUAAGAGCACAUUUACUGACCAAGCAAUUAGGACAGAGUUUUUCACAGCUUGAGACUGGCCAGUUUCCAUGGUAAUCUUGAUAUCUGAUAUGUUGGGAUGGUCAAUCCUGUAUCUAUUUUACGCGUCCAGCAUUCUAGCUAAUCUCGGAGUUUUACUGAGGAAUAACGUGAAACAAGGCAACUGAAAAAGGAAAACUUAUUCCGGGGAAUCGUUUUUAUUGUGAAUUCAGAUUAAAGUAAUACGUCCUGGCAUACGUAUACGGAAAUGAGCUGCUCGAGCAAACCGAUUAUGUGCAGACGCAACACACAAUGAGAUAAACAAUGUUAUCAAAGAGUGGUUCCGGUACGCAUGUGACCGUGAAGGAGGUCGAAAAGAAAGAGAGGAAAGAAAAAAAGAAAAAGAGAGAAACCAAAGCUCCCAGAAUGCAACAGAGGACAGUGAUUCAUAAUUGUGGAAGAAUUAAAGUGUAUGCACAUGUAUCAGACAAAGAGACAAAGUUAACUUGUUUACACUGGAAUGCAUUUAUUGUUUUAAUCAUAUUUUCAUUUGACCAGUUGUUAACACAAAUUAAAUUCAUUAGAUGUCUUUUAUUUUGUUUUGAUAAUGUGUAGAAGUUGAAUAAUCCUUAUGUCUCUGGUGGAGAUUUUAAAAAAAAUGGAUAGAUUUUCUACUGAGCUCUAACAGUGGUCAACCUUAUAUUGUAAUUGAAGGAGGAUUAUGAGAUUAGUUAAUUCAUCUGCAAAUUGGAAUCAUUUCUAAAAUUUGAAUACAAUAUUUUAUUGCUUAAAUGAAAAAACAAAACAAA